UACGUAGGGUGCGAGCGUUGAAUCGGAAUUCUAGGGCGUGAACGUGACGCAGGCGGUUUUGUGAAGCCAGGUGUGAAAUCCCCGGGCUCAACCUGGGAAUGGCAUUUGGGACUGCAAGGCUGGAGUGUGGCAGAGGAGACUGGAAUUCCUGGUGUAGCAGUGAAAUGCGUAGAUAUCAGGAGGAAUACCGAUGGCGAAGGCAGGUCUCUGGGCUGACACUGACGCUCAUGCACGAAAGCGUGGGGAGCAAACAGG
rnacentral:rRNA from 1 species